GCCAGGGAUGGUGUCGCAUGCCUGUAAUCCCAGUGGCUUGGGAGACUGAGGCAGGAGGAUCACGAGUUCAAAGCCAGCUUUGGUAAUUUAGCGAGGCCCUAAGCACCUUAGCGAGACCCUGUCUCUA
rnacentral:sRNA from 1 species